rnacentral:rRNA from 1 species
CUCAUUUGUUGGGCCUUGAAAGACACUGCGUGUGACAAAGCGGAGGAAGGCGGGGAUGACGUCCAGUCAUCAUGCCCCUUACAUCCUGGGCUACACACGUACUACAAUGCAACGGACAAAGGGCAGCCAACUAGCGAUAGUGCGCAAAUCCCAUAAACCGUUGCUCAGUUCAGAUUGCAGGCUGCAACUCGCCUGCAUGAAGGCGGAAUCGCUAGUAAUCGCAGGUCAGCAUACUGCGGUGAAUACGUUCCCGGGCCUUGUACACACCGCCCGU